rnacentral:sRNA from 1 species
CCCAUGUGAACUUAUCUCUUUGUUGCCUCGGCGCAAGCUACCCGGGACCUCGCGCCCCGGGCGGCCCGCCGGCGGACAAACCAAAACUCUUGUUAUCUUAGUUGAUUAUCUGAGUGUCUUAUUUAAUAAGUCAAAACUUUCAACAACGGAUCUCUUGGUUCUGGCAUCGAUGAAGAACGCAGCGAAAUGCGAUAAGUAAUGUGAAUUGCAGAAUUCAGUGAAUCAUCGAAUCUUUGAACGCACAUUGCGCCCAUUAGUAUUCUAGUGGGCAUGCCUGUUCGAGCGUCAUUUCAACCCCUAAGCACAGCUUAUUGUUGGGAACCUACGGCUUCGUAGUUCCUCAAAGACAUUGGCGGAGUGGCAGUGGUCCUCUGAGCGUAGUAAUCUUUUAUCUCGCUUCUGUUAGGUGCUGCCCCCCCGGCCGUAAAACCCCCAAA